AUUAGCGGAACGCUCUGGAAAGUGCGGCCAUAGUGGGUGAUAGCCCUGUACGCGAAAAUCUCUUAGUCAUGAAAUCGAGUAGGACGGAGCACGAGAAACUUUGUCUGAAUAUGGGGGGACCAUCCUCCAAGGCUAAAUACUCCUGACUGACCGAUAGUGAACCAGUACCGUGAGGGAAAGGCGAAAAGAACCCCUGUGAGGGGAGUGAAAUAGAACCUGAAACCGUGUGCGUACAAGCAGUGGGAGCCUUAAUUUUUAGUGUGAUCGCGUAC
rnacentral:rRNA from 12 species